AUGUUAUUAUUUUCCCAAAGUUGGUUCUUUCUUCAUUUUUGUUUUCCUCUUGCAGAGGCGAUCGUAAAAGUGAUGAAUGGGUCAUGUUCAUGUUGGUAUGAUGAAGCCUCCUGUGUGGCUUCCCCUACACCUCCGGUGGCUGUUCCUUCUAUGACUCCAGUGCAGGAAGCAACGGAGCAGCAGGAUAGCCGCCUCGCUCUCGCAGGGCUCGGGGUGACGAUGAGCUCCGGUGACCAUCUGUUGGCAGCGGUGAUGAAGCCUCCCGUGUGGCUUCCCCUGCACCUCGGGCGGCUGUUCCUUCUCUGA
rnacentral:rRNA from 1 species